UUAUCGGAGAGUUUGAUCCUGGCUCAGGACGAACGCUGGCGGCGUGCCUAAUACAUGCAAGUCGAGCGGACAGAUGGGAGCUUGCUCCCUGAUGUUAGCGGCGGACGGGUGAGUAACACGUGGGUAACCUGCCUGUAAGACUGGGAUAACUCCGGGAAACCGGGGCUAAUACCGGAUGGUUGUUUGAACCGCAUGGUUCAAACAUAAAAGGUGGCUUCGGCUACCACUUACAGAUGGACCCGCGGCGCAUUAGCUAGUUGGUGAGGUAACGGCUCACCAAGGCGACGAUGCGUAGCCGACCUGAGAGGGUGAUCUACCACACUGGGACUGAGACACUACCAGACUCCUACGGGAGGCAGCAGUAGGGAAUCUUCCGCAAUGGACGAAAGUCUGACGGAGCAACGCCGCGUGAGUGAUGAAGGUUUUCGGAUCGUAAAGCUCUGUUGUUAGGGAAGAACAAGUACCGUUCGAAUAGGGCGGUACCUUGACGGUACCUAACCAGAAAGCCACGGCUAACUACGUGCCAGCAGCCGCGGUAAUACGUAGGUGGCAAGCGUUGUCCGGAAUUAUUGGGCGUAAAGGGCUCGCAGGCGGUUUCUUAAGUCUGAUGUGAAAGCCCCCGGCUCAACCGGGGAGGGUCAUUGGAAACUGGGGAACUUGAGUGCAGAAGAGGAGAGUGGAAUUCCACGUGUAGCGGUGAAAUGCGUAGAGAUGUGGAGGAACACCAGUGGCGAAGGCGACUCUCUGGUCUGUAACUGACGCUGAGGAGCGAAAGCGUGGGGAGCGAACAGGAUUAGAUACCCUGGUAGUCCACGCCGUAAACGAUGAGUGCUAAGUGUUAGGGGGUUUCCGCCCCUUAGUGCUGCAGCUAACGCAUUAAGCACUCCGCCUGGGGAGUACGGUCGCAAGACUGAAACUCAAAGGAAUUGACGGGGGCCGCACAAGCGGUGGAGCAUGUGGUUUAAUUCGAAGCAACGCGAAGAACCUUACCAGGUCUUGACAUCCUCUGACAAUCCUAGAGAUAGGACGUCCCCUUCGGGGGCAGAGUGACAGGUGGUGCAUGGUUGUCGUCAGCUCGUGUCGUGAGAUGUUGGGUUAAGUCCCGCAACGAGCGCAACCCUUGAUCUUAGUUGCCAGCAUUCAGUUGGGCACUCUAAGGUGACUGCCGGUGACAAACCGGAGGAAGGUGGGGAUGACGUCAAAUCAUCAUGCCCCUUAUGACCUGGGCUACACACGUGCUACAAUGGACAGAACAAAGGGCAGCGAAACCGCGAGGUUAAGCCAAUCCCACAAAUCUGUUCUCAGUUCGGAUCGCAGUCUGCAACUCGACUGCGUGAAGCUGGAAUCGCUAGUAAUCGCGGAUCAGCAUGCCGCGGUGAAUACGUUCCCGGCCUUGUACACACCGCCCGUCACACCACGAGAGUUUGUAACACCCGAAGUCGGUGAGGUAACCUUUUAGGAGCCAGCCGCCGAAGGUGGGACAGAUGAUUGGGGUGAAGUCGUAACAAGGUAGCCGUAUCGGAAGGUGCGGCUGGAUCACCUCCUUU
rnacentral:rRNA from 1 species